rnacentral:rRNA from 1 species
AACGCACGCUGGCGGCAGGCUUAACACAUGCAAGUCGAACUGCUGUAGCAAUACAGCAGUGGCAGACGGGUGAGUAACACGUGGGAACCUUCCUAGGGGUACGGAACAACUCAGGGAAACUUGAGCUAAUACCGUAUACGUCCGUGAGGAGAAAGAUUUAUCGCCCUUAGACGGGCCCGCGUCGGAUUAGGUAGUUGGUGGGGUAACGGCCUACCAAGCCUACGAUCCGUAGCUGAUCUGAGAGGAUGAUCAGCCACACUGGGACUGAGACACGGCCCAGACUCCUACGGGAGGCAGCAGUGGGGAAUCUUGGACAAUGGGCGCGAGCCUGAUCCAGCCAUGCCGCGUGAGUGAAGAAGGCCUUAGGGUUGUAAAGCUCUUUUGCCAGGGACGAUAAUGACGGUACCUGGAGAAUAAGCCCCGGCAAACUUCGUGCCAGCCGCCGCGGUAA